UGGACGAUAUGAGGAGCUUCUUGGCCAUGGUGCAGUGAAGAUGGUGUAUAGAGCAUUUGAUCUUGAGGAAGGCAGAGAAGUAGCCUGGAAUCAGAUUAAAUUGAACAAAUUCAUUGGCAGUCCUUUCAUCAUCAGUAAGAUCCAUUCUGAAAUCGAGUUGCUGAAGAAUUUGAAGAAUGACAACAUCAUUGUCAUGUACCAUUUCUGGAAAGACACUGACCAUAACAUUCUGAAUUUCAUAACCGAGGCAUGUGCUUCUGGUAAUUUGAGGGAAUACAGGAAAAAGCAUCGUCAUGUUUCAAUCAAGGCCAUGAAGAAGUGGUCAAGACAGAUAUUGCAAGGCUUGGAUUUUCUCCAUACUCACGAUCCUUGUGUUAUACAUAGAGACCUCAAUUGUAGUAACAUCUUUAUCAAUGGAAAUGUUGGCAAGGUGAAGAUCGGUGAUCUUGGUUUGGCAACAAUCGUGGGGAAGAGCCAUGCAGCACAUUCUGUACUAGGGACGCCAGAGUAUAUGGCACCAGAGCUUUAUGAAGAGAACUAUACAGAGUUGGUAGAUGUAUACUCGUUUGGGAUGUGUUUGAUUGAAAUGGCUACUCUGGAGAUACCUUACAGUGAAUGUGACAGUUUAGCCAAACUAUACAAGAUAGUAACUUCUGGGAAAAAGCCUCAAGCUUUUAACAGGGUGAGUGAUCCCGAGUUGAAGGCCUUCAUUGAAAGAUGCGUUG
rnacentral:misc_RNA from 1 species